rnacentral:rRNA from 1 species
GGAUUCCCCUAGUAACGGCGAGUGAAGAGGGAAUAGCCCAGCACCGAAGCCUGCGACAGUUUUGUUGUUAGGCAAUGUGGUGUUUGGGUCGGCUAGUGGGAUUGCCACUCCACUCGAAGUCCAGCAUUGAGUAUGGUCACUGGAUUUGGCCCAGAGAGGGUGAAAGGCCCGUACGGGUGGAGGUCUCAGACAAGUAAGGCAAUUCACCAGGCCGGCCUUAGAGUCGGGUUGUUUGUGAAUGCAGCCCAAAGUGGGUGGUAAACUCCAUCCAAGGCUAAAUACAAGCACGAGUCCGAUAGCGAACAAGUACCGUGAGGGAAAGUUGAAAAGUACUUUGAAGAGAGAGUAAACAGUACGUGAAACCGCAUGCAGGUAAACGGGUGGCGUCAAGCUGCAAGCCCAGAGGAUUCAGCUGGCUAGGAUGUUGUGUAUGCGCUUGCGCAUCUAUCAGUCAGAAUAAGAUGUGAUAGUCCACUGGUAAACGGUGGGCCCGGCCGCAAGGUUGGGAUAUGUGUACCGGGCGGAAGCCGGAGCAUGCUAUUCGUCUGUUGGGCUGUCUAGUCAGUGCACUUUCUCUGUGGUGAACACCACGACCGGUGGAAUUGCCAGUCUGCUGUAGUCAAGUCGUAUUCAGUCGGUUCUUGUAGCCAACUGGGUGCGAUCACAGGCAAACUCAGUAAACGGCGUAGGGGUGUUUCGGCAUCCCUGCGUGUUAUCGGCUGCUGGUUGUCAACGGGCCUGCCUGAUGAUUGUUGUAACCGUCAUUGGGUGGUCUGGUGGGCUAUGGUGGUAAGAAUAACUGUGCAAGGCAUCGGAGUUCUCGGCCUCAAAUGCAUCCUGCAUACACGUUACAAGUGGAGUGGGGUGCCAUUGCAGCCUGCCUGUUGUUGGGUCUGAUUGUCGUGUCGCCUGCGCAAAGUGGGCCCGGCAGUGGCCUGAUGCGGGAUGGGUUGUGGAUGGUGCUUCCUGUGU